UACAGAGGUCCCGAGCGUUGUUCGGAUUCACUGGGCGUAAAGGGUGCGUAGGUGGCGAGGUAAGUCGGAUGUGAAAGCUCGGAGCUCAACUCCGAAAUGGCAUUGGAAACUACCUUGCUCGAGGGUUGGAGGGGGGACUGGAAUACUUGGUGUAGCAGUGAAAUGCGUAGAUAUCAAGUGGAACACCAGUGGCGAAGGCGAGUCCCUGGACAACUCCUGACACUGAGGCACGAAAGCUAGGAGAGCAAACAGG
rnacentral:rRNA from 1 species